rnacentral:rRNA from 1 species
GAAUUACACAUGCGAGUAUCCACGAGCCAGUGAGGAUGCCCUUUAUAAUCGAUUCCGAUAAAAAGGAGCGGGUAUCAAGUUCACACAAAAGUAGCUCAUCACACCUCGUAAAACCACACCCCCACCGGUAACAGCAGUGAUAAAAAUUAAGCUAUGAACGAAAGUUUGACUUAGUCAUGCAAUACAGUUAGGGUUGGUAAAUCUCGUGCCAGCCACCGCGUCAUACGAUUAACCCGAAUUAAUAAACAAUCGGCGUAAAGAAUGUUUAAGAAUAUAGCAAAACUAAGAUUAAAUCUUGUCUAUGUCGUAAAAAAUUAUAGAUAAGACGAAACUCAAUAAACGCAGGUAAUCUUAUAAUAUCUGAACACAUGACAGCUUGGACACAAAGCUAAGCCGUAAACACAAAAUAUUAAAUAGAACGAAAAGUUUCGCCAGAGAACUACUAGCCACGGCUAAAAACUCAAAGGACUUGGCGGUGCUUCACACCCACCUAGAGGAGCCUGUUCUGUAAUCGAUAAACCCCGAUAAACCUCACCACUUUUUGCUAAUACAGCCUAUAUACCGCCAUCUUCAGCGAACCUUAACAAAGUAAAAAAGUGAGCACAACCACAAACAUAAAGACGUUAGGUCAAGGUGUAGCCAAUAAAGUGGGAAGUAAUGGGCUACAUUUUCUUGACAAAGAACAUUUAAACGGAAGCUAUUAUGAAAUUAAAUAGCAUAAG